UCAGGACGAACGCUGGCGGCAUGCUUAACACAUGCAAGUCGAACGGAUGUAGCAAUACAUUAGUGGCGAACGGGUGAGUAACACGUGAGCAACCUGCCCUAUACCUUGGGAUAACUCAAAGAAAUUUGAGCUAAUACCGAAUAAGACCCCUCUAUCGCAUGAUAGAGAGGCAAAAGCGAAAUAGCGGUAAAGGAUGGGCUCGCGUCCCAUUAGCUAGUUGGUGAGAUAAAAGCUUACCAAGGCGAUGAUGGGUAGCCGACCUGAGAGGGGUGAUCGGCCACACUGGAACUGAGACACGGUCCAGACUCCUACGGGAGGCAGCAGUGGGGAAUAUUGGGCAAUGGAGGCAACUCUGACCCAGCAAUGCCGCGUGAGUGAAGAAGGUCUUCGGAUUGUAAAGCUCUUUGAUUAGGGAUGAAGGAAAUGACAUUACCUAAAGAACAAGCCCCGGCUAACUACGUGCCAGCCGCCGC
rnacentral:rRNA from 1 species